rnacentral:misc_RNA from 1 species
CUCCCUCUCCUCCCCACCUAGAACAAAACAGGAACAGGUAUAGAAGAGGGCGGUUCACUACAAACACACACACGUAAACUCUAAUGCCUCGCUCCAUGGAUCUGGUGCGUGGCUCUGAUGGAUAAGAGGAAGAGAGAAGGCCCACUGUUCUCACAUGGCAGGGAAAGGCAAGGCGGGAAGAAUGGCGGUGUGGAGGAAGAGGAAGAAGACUUGUUUGGAGAUGACGAUGAAAUAUUCUCCAUGAUUUCUGAGGAUAGCAUCUGGAUAGAGGAGACACAGGGACAGCAGGAGCCACAGCCAUCAACAAGUUUCCAGGUGGGGAGGCCACCACCACGACCACUGCCUCAGUCCGCACCAUUAGAGAGACUGCCACACUUUGACGUGGAGGCGGGCUCAACAUGGAUCUACCCAGUGAACUACCCGCUGAGGGACUACCAGUACUCCAUGGUGGAGAGCGCCCUCUACAGGAACACACUCAUCUCGCUGCCCACUGGUUUGGGGAAGACCUUCAUAGCAGCCGUGGUGAUGUACAACUUCUACCGGUGGUACCCAUCAUGCAAGGUGGUGUUCAUGGCACCCACCAAGCCCCUCGUCUCCCAGCAGAUUGAGGCGUGCUUCAACAUCAUGGGCAUCCCACAGGAAGACAUAUCCCAGAUGACUGGCACCCUCAAUCCAGAGAAGAGGACAGAGCAGUGGUGUACAAAGCGAGUGUUCUUCCUAACACCCCAAGUGGUGACCAAUGACUUGUGCCGAGGAAGCUGCCCGGCUAAGCUCAUCAAGUGUCUGGUGCUGGAUGAGGCUCACCGGGCACUGGGGAACCAUGCCUACUGCCAGGUUGUGCGUGAGUUGAAGGAACACGGGCAUGAUUUCCGCAUUCUAGCUCUCUCGGCAACUCCAGGCUCUGAUCUGAUGGCUGUCAAGCAGGUGCUGAGUAACCUGUACAUAUCCCAUGUGGAGCUGCGCAGUGAGGACAGUCCAGACAUCCAGGCGUACACCUUCCAGCGCAGUGUUCAGAAGAUGGUGGUGCCCCUCGGGGAGGAGCUUACCACCCUCAAGAACAGGUACCUCAAGGUUCUGCGAAUGUAUGUUACUAGGUUGCUGGAUUUAAAUGUCUUGCAUACCAGAGAUGAAACAACACUAACAAAAUUCCAGCUGCUCAAGUCUCGCGAGUGUUUCCGACAGAACAUUCCCAGCAACUUGCCGCACAGCAAGCUUGGCGUGGUAGAGGGACUGUUUGCCAUGUGCAUGACCCUCUACCACUCCUAUGAGCUGAUGCUGCAGCAUGGCACCAGGUCAUUCUACAGAUUUCUGAAAGAAGCACUGAAUGGGGAAAAGGGUAACUACUUUUUACGAGGAGAAUUGCGCAACAACAACUUGUUUCAGUCAAUAAUGAAUGAUCUUUCAAAAAAGUUUGAAGGUGAUUGUGUGAUGAGUCCCUCAAAGCAGAACCAGUCAGGACUGUUCUCUGUGAUUGGCUCUCCGCAGCCCACCAGUGGUGCUGGGACCUCCAAGGCACCUUUUGUCAUUAGUCAUCCUAAAAUGGCCAAGCUUCAGGAAAUUGUUCUUGAACAUCACCAAAAGUUUGCCAAUGAGGGAAAGUCAACAAGGAUCAUAAUAUUUUCACAGUACCGGGAGAGUGUGAUGGAGAUUACAGAGAUGCUGCAGCAACACCACCCAACUGUGAAAGCCAUGAGCUUCAUCGGCCAUGGCACCAAUUCCCAGAGCAGGAAGGGCUUGUCACAGAAGAAGCAGCUUGAGGUUGUGAGCAAAUUCCGAGGAGGCGACUACAACACAUUAGUUUCCACAUGUGUAGGAGAGGAAGGCUUGGACAUUGGAGAUGUGGACCUGAUCGUGUGCUAUGAUGCCCCCAAGUCUCCCAUCAGGCUGGUGCAGCGCAUGGGCCGCACAGGCAGACAGCGCGAGGGCCGCAUCGUGGUGCUGGUCACCGUGGGUAAGGAGGAGCAGAAUUACAAUGCAAGUCAGCACCAGAAGAAGACAAUCAACAAUGCCCUAGCAAACACCAGCAAGCUUGCCCGCUACCUCACUCCCAGCAGCCCCCGCAUGGUGCCCUCAGGUCUUUCACCAUCCUGCCUCAAGCUGCACAUGAAGGUGGACGCCUGGAAGACCAACAUUAAGGCUGGCAAAGGUACUCCCAGAGGCCGGGGCUCCAUUCUGUCCAUGAUGUCAAGGACCAGCGCUGCCACCUCCAAGGCUGGCCAGAGAGCAUCCUGGAUGUCUCAGGAGGAGUGGCAGUGGUGCAGGAACAACAAGGUGCCUCAGGAGGACAUCAGGACACUUCCUCCUCCCUCCCUCAUGUGUCUGGAUGCUUCCAAGUACACGUUUGACCGCAAGAGGCACAUCAACCUGGGCAGCUACCAGCCGUGGCAGACCCUCCCCCAGAAAACUCACCUGGUGGGCCACUCCCCGCUCACCCGCCACCUGGUGGAGGUGACAGAGUUCAUAGGUCUGCAGCAGCUUGUUGGUGCUGACGAGGACCCGUAUGGCCUGGAGAUGGCAGCAUUCCUCGACAAGGCUUAUGUGGAAGAUGAUGAGGACAUUUACCACCUUAGUCCUGACUUCAAAAAAUCAAACAACAGACAAGAUCAAGAAGACAAAAUAGAGAAUAAGAGGAAGAGAAAGCAAAAUGCUCUUACGAAUAAGAGAAAGAAACCAAAGGUUGUGCAGAGUUCUCUCAUCACUGACAUGUUCAGCAAGAUGACUCAGUCCCAGGCAAAGAACAGAGAGGAUAAUCACUCAAAAGAGGAAGCCACAACGAGGCGAGUGGUGGGGCCAGGCCAGGCUAGUGUUAAGACCAGUGGUGGGACUGCCAGUGUUGUGCAGGUGAGAGAUAAUGAUGGUGAUGAUGAUGAUGAUGAUGUGAUAUGUCUGAUGGAUGACAAUGAUGACUUUCAAAGCACACCAAAGAGUGUAGCUGUGUCUCAGAGUGACAGACAUAAAUCUCUGGCUAAGAUGGAGCCCAGCAGAAAUAAUAUACUUAACAAGAACCACACCAGAAAGAUUGAAGAUGAAACACCAGGUGACACUAAAGGUCAGUUGUUGUUACCUGUACCAAGUGGAAGUGUUGUGUCCAUUGGCCUGCUGAGUCCUCCGCAAAGCAGUGAUGAUGAAGAGAUAGAAGAACCAGACAGUCCAUCAGAACCCUUAGAAUUCUGCAGUAAAUGGGUGACAAGGAACCAGAAGAAAAUGUCACCAUUGAAACAAAAGAUUAAUGCUUUGUCUUGUUCUAAGGUUGUGUCGGUGGCUCAGACUGUUGGUGCCAGUAAGCAUGCUAAUAAUGCUGCCAGCAGGUUAAUAGAUGAUAAUGAUGACAAUGAACAACAACUAGACUCUUCAUUGUUCAGAAUUGUAGAAACUUCCCCAGUUAUUGGUAAAUCUCAGUGUACCAAAAACAAGGUCAUGACAAAUAUUAGUGACAGUGGAAACCAGUCUCUUAUUACUCCUGGAGAUGCUGCAAACUUGAUGGAACUUGACACAUCUCCAAUUGUUGGCAGAGGUGGCACUCAGCACUCUGCCUCAACUCCUAAGCUUGUCUCCAAGCGCUUGUUCAAGAAGUUCACUCCUGGACUGUCUGCUGUCGGGGAGUUUUCUCCCAUACCCUGGAAGGAUAGCAGUGCCUCCCCCAGUGGUGUGGGUCACUCCUCCAUGAGGGGAGGUAAGGGCCAGCAAGACACUCCCCAGCAGGCUGCCCCGUGUCGGGACCCCUGCAACAGAUUCAGGUCUAAGCUGAGUAGAUUUGCCAAGCCUGAAGUACCUGAGUCAGAAUCCAUUGCUGAGAUCACCAAUGCUGACAAAUCCAAAGCUGUUAAUGAAAUUCCUGUUGUAGAAGGAAGUAGGAAAACCCUUCCUAAGAAAUUAUCUUAUGAUGUAACACACAGGGAAGAGGAAAUUGCUCUUGAACCUAAUAAACAUGAAAUUCCAAAAAGUAAUCUUAAUCAGAAAUUUGAUGAAGUAAAAGAUAUUGAAUGUUUACAAAAUGAAUGCAAAAAUGAUUCCAGCUUUCUUUUCAAAGACCUCAAUACAACAAACUUAAAGGAAAAUAAUGGGAAACAAAUACCUGAGGAGAAAGAUGAAGAGGACGUGAUGUUCAUCGGCUGCAGUAACAUUUCACACUCAGGAGAUUUACCUCAGUCAUCUCAGAAAUCAAGAAGAGAAAACAUCAUUCCAGGAAAGAUGAACACAACAAACACUGUGCGUGGAGGAAGAAGUGAGCAGGCUUUUCAGGAUGCCAAAGUGAAAUCCACCAAGGAGGGCAAUAAAUCUCUUGAAGCUUCUGUCAGCACCUCUCCUGAUCUGAUGGAGGACUGCUCUCUCUUUGAACACAUGGCAGAGUUUGGUGUUGAGCCAGCCACAGCCAAGUCCCCAGCACCAGAAGACCUUAACAAUUCAAGCUAUGGACUGAGCAUAACACAGGUUCUCAACUUCAUGAAUGACAAAUCUGAUUGCAGUACACAGCAGGCCUCCACCUCUAAUGUAUUUCCAAAACCUUCACCGAUUCAAUCCCAAAAAGUGCAGAGGAAUAACAGGCAGUCAGUGAGUCAUUUGUCAUCAAAGUCUAAGCUGAGUUUGCGUAGGAACAGUCAUCACGAAACAGGAGCUAAGAGUGACAGGUGUGAAUUUCCUGGCACAUCGACCAGUACUCAAGCUCGUGAUGGUCCCAGAUUGCCUUUCAGUAGAACUCGCCCAAACCUGCCUGGUAAAAGUAAUGAUGCUACUGAACAGAAGAAACAACAGCAGCAUGUCAAGGAAAAGCAUGUCUCUUUUUGCACUGAAGAGAAUGAUGAGUUUGAGGAAAUGUCAGAAUCUCUCCUUGCAGACGUAGAGCUCAAACUCAUGGAAGUACAUCGUGGUGUGAAUGGUGUGACUUGUGGAAGUGAGGGAAGUAGUAAGAAUUCAAGCACUAUUCUGUAUCCAAUGUCUGAUAGAAGUGAGGAGCAGGCAGACAGAACACAUGAAGGAAGCAAAGACCUCUUCACCACAAGACUCUUUUCAAAUGGACCACAAAAGGAUGCUAGAGAAAGUAGCAAAUUUAUGUCCCCAACACAAGCUGAGAUAAGAGAAAACAGCAAACUAAUGUCUCCAACUCAAGCUGAUAUAAGAGAAUGCAGCAGAUUGAUGUCUCCAACAGAAGCUAAUAUAAGAGAAAGUAGUAAACUUAUGUCCCCAACACAAGCUAAUUUAAGAGAAAGUAGUAAACUCAUGUCACCAACCCAAGAUGAGACACAGCUUCUUAUUACAAGAAAGCGCAAGGCAUACCAUGUGUUGGGGUCUGACCAGGAAGACUCCAUCCUCACCAGUGACUCAGAGAAAGAUGUGUCCAAGGCAUCAACCACCUCGGGAAGCAGCAGAACCAGCACCGUCAGUACGUGUGUGACGGCUCCAGUGAGGAGGGCCGUGGCGGAGCAGAUGAGGAGUCAGUUUGAUGAUGAAGAUGAUGACUUUGUGCAAGGUCCCGGCCACCCUCCAUCCAAGCAGCAGAAAGUGAAUAGUAUCCUAAAGAAGAGGAAGAAGAAGAGGAGGAGGCUCGAGUAUCUAGAUGAUGAGGCGGAGAUAUCAGUGGACGCUGUGGGUGUUUCCAGCGAUGAGUCCAGCGAGGAUGAGAAAGAUUACGACCGCAGCUUUGUGGAUGAUGGGACGUACCUCACACAGGACAAUGCACAAGAUAUGAGGGCCAUUUACCUGAGGUCAGUUGUGAGUCCUAUGAAGGGCAAGGCUCACCUUGACCUUCCCCAAAUCAAGUACGACUACCUCGAUGACUCAAACGCCAGUGAGGGUGAGGAGGGCGAGGACAGCUUUGUGGUGGACAACAGCUUUGUGGAGUACGACACGGAAUACAUUGGGGAGACGAUGCUGGCGGAGGACCCCAUCAUUAACCAGGCUCUUCAGGAUCAAGGAAACUCCAAGAAAACCAAAGAUGCUGCCACUGGAAAUAAAGCAAAAAGAAAAAGAAUAAUACUGAAUGAAUCAACAAGUGAAGAAGACACAGAGAAUGAGCGUAGUCCUGUGAAGGCUCCGGUGGGGAGGACACAGCCUUUGCAUCAAGUCAGUGGGCUGAGUGGAAGGAGUCAAGUCAGGAACACUGCUGUGGCUGGCAACCAGAACACACCAAGCUGCUCUAGAGACAGUCUUAAUGACAAAGUAGACUUAGAGAUAAUCAUGGAAUCAAAACCAUUCAGACCACCUCCAGGCCCCUCCAAGCAGUCUGACAAAGUGCUUCCUGUCACCAGCAGAAGUGAACAAGGAUUUAUGAGCAGCAGUAGACCUCAAAGCACAAGUUCUCGAGUCAGUAAAAGCAAUUAUGUUCAGCAAGCAACAAACAAAGGUGGCAGUGCAGUGAGUGGACAGCAGGCAGCUCAUGGUGUAGGAAGGAGUGUGGGACACCAAGAGAGGGCUAGUGGUGGUGGUGGGAGUGGGAGUGGGACAAGCAAGGACACCACUGGGAAGGUUAUUAGUGAGAGGCCAGAGGUAUCGAUAAUUUCCAGCUUGCUAGCCAGCCCCACAUCACCCAUGGGUGGCUGCCACUCACUCCUGCCAGUCUCUCCUCAACUCAACGUGUCUGCCGGCAGCUUCUUUGUCUCUGCCGAGCCUUACAAUUCAAGCUUCUCCAGCAGCCAGUCUUCAGGGAGCAGCACGCCGCAGGAAGCUGUGGGUGUUCUGGUUGACUCGAGUGAAGUGAACAGUGGGGGCAAUGUGUUGUCACGGCUCAGGCUGCGCUACAAGGCCCACACCGCAGUGGUCCACCUCACCCACGCUCAUUAUGCUGUCUCCACGCGCAUGGCUGUGGCCAGGCUCCCUGCCACAAUGUUGAGCAGCAGCCAGCACAGGAGUCGCCUGGUGGAGAGAGUGCAGGGCAUGCUGGAGCUGUAUGAGCGACCCGUCCUCAUCGUGGAAGAUGAGGCGGACAGGGGCAGCCCGGCACGUCAGGCACGCUCCCGCUACCAGGACACCAUCGUGUGUGCCUGCAUCCAGGUGACAGCCCUCACAGUGCUCUACUCCAAGGACCAAGAAGAAACAUCUCAUUUGUUGUGGCAGUUACUUCUACAGGAGAAAACUAGAGGGUUUAAGAUAUCAGUUGUACCUACUAUGACCAAAAAAAGGCAACAGAUGGCAAAGUUCUACCUCACUCUGCCAAACAUUGGUUACCCCACCGCUCUGACCCUGGCCCAGAGGUUCUCCACAGUCAGGGAGUUCAUCAACAGUUCAGCAGAGUGUAUACAGGAGAAGGGCAGGAUGUCCCUGGAGCGUGCCAUGGCCGUGAAGCAGCAGCUCACCAGGCGGUUCAGGGAGGACAUGCUGCCCUGACCUGUGCCUCCCACACUGUUGUGACAGGUGAGGAGCAGCUGGUGGUCAUACAGGUUCAUAUCAGCUGCUUGUGGCUGUCAAGGCACACCACGUUUCUCUUAUUACUGUCAUAAGGUGCAUUUCAGGAUGACACCAGUGGAGUGUUUUGUGCUAGAAUUUCAACACUUACAAUUCUGAAGUUUUUAUUACAUUAAGUUUUUUAGGGGGAGUGUGUCAGCUGUGGGUGGUGCAGCAUGCAAAGAACCUGUGCUUUGUGGUGGUGAUCUGGUAAUGUGAGUGGUUAAGAAUUUUAUUUAUCUUAAACAACUUCCAUGAACUUAAGCAGUAUUCAGAUGGAGGUGACUUGCUCUGUGCAAUAUACUUUUAUUUCUAUAUAUAUUUAUUAUUUUUUUAUUGGAAUAAGUUUGCUGGUAGUGGCCAAGUCUUGACUGGCUAACGAAAAUUAAUAAAUAAGCCACAGUAUCAUAAUGAGGCAGUCACUGAUAAGGAGAAAAGGAAGCUGCUAAUCCUUCAGUGUGGGUAAUGUUAAUAAUGCAUUGUUGAUACUUGAAUGAAAUAAACACCAAAGGAAGCAUUUAUGAAUCUACCAGUAACUAAGACAAGGAGGACAGAGUGUGGCCUUCCUUCACAGACUACUGAAGGAACAAGUGUGUGUCCCAAUACUCAGUCUUGGCAAUGCUGUGAUUUAGUUCAGGUUUCUGUAUAUGGCACUGCCCCACUCAGUGAAGACAGAUGCCUCAGAAUAAUUGGCGAGACAUUCAAUUUGACUGAGUUCAGUUGUGGUUCAGGAAGCAUCAUUACAAGCAGAAUUUACUGAACUGCUGCUGGCAUGGUGUGUGUGUGUGUGUGUGUGUGUGUGUGUGUGUGUGUGUGUGUGUGUGUGUGUGUGUGUGUGUGUGUGUGUGUGUGUGUGUGUGUGUGUGUGUGUGUGUGU